rnacentral:rRNA from 1 species
AACCCGCCUGCAUGAAGUCGGAAUUGCUAGUAAUCNCGGAUCAGCAUGCCGCGGUGAAUACGUUCCCGGGCCUUGUACACACCGCCCGUCACACCAUGGGAGCCGGUAAUACCCGAAGUCAGUAGUCCAACCUCGUGAGGACGCUGCCGAAGGUAGGAUUGGCGACUGGGGUGAAGUCGUAACAAGGUAAC